UACGUAGGGGGCAAGCGUUGUCCGGAUUUAUUGGGCGUAAAGAGCGUGUAGGCGGCCAGGUAGGUCCGUUGUGAAAACUCGAGGCUCAACCUCGAGACGCCGAUGGAAACCAUCUGGCUAGAGUCCGGAAGAGGAGAGUGGAAUUCCCGGUGUAGCGGUGAAAUGCGCAGAUAUCAGGAGGAACACCGGUGGCGAAGGCGGAUCUCUGGGCCGUAACUGACGCUGAGGAGCGAAAGCGUGGGGAGCAAACAGG
rnacentral:rRNA from 1 species